AUUUCUAUUUAUAUAGUUUAGCUAAAACAUUACAUUUUCAUUGUAAAGUCAAAUUACCUUUUAUAA
rnacentral:tRNA from 2 species